GAGCACGUAGGUGGGUUUGUAAGUCAGAUGUGAAAGCCUUCUGUUCAAAGGAAGAACGGCAUCUGAAACUGCAGAUCUUGAGUGUAGGAGGGGAGAGUGGAACUUCUGGUGGAGCGGUGAAAUGCGUAGAUAUCAGAAGGAACGUCGGCGGCGAAAGCGACUCUCUGGCCUAUUACUGACACUGAGUGUGCGAAAGUUGGGGGAGCAAACGGGAUUAGAUACCCCGGUAGUCCUAACUGUAAACGAUGGGCACUAAGUAGAGGGGGU
rnacentral:rRNA from 1 species